rnacentral:lncRNA from 1 species
UGACUCUAUGUCUCCCUAUCUGAAUCUUUAUCUUUCUCAUUUCAUUCUGAAUUGUUUUCCUUUUUUUCUCAGUUUCUUCAUUCUGGGAUGAUUUCAUGAUGCCCAACAGUCAUAAUGAGCGGUGUUCUUUAAAGUCUCUGCCAAUGAUCUCCUGAGAUUUGGUGACUAAUACUAGCUCAGCAUUUCCUAGAAGAUCAAUUGGGACAUCCUUUCAACUGUCAGAAUGAAGGAAAUUAUACUGUUGGCUAUGACUUUGUGUGCUUCAAAACAUCAGGAGAAUCAGAUGAAGAAAGCAUCUUCAGCACCCAGCUCAUCUUCAGCUUAGAAGACUCAUGGGAUCUACAGAUGACUCAAAGACAAGAGGGAAACCAAAAUCAUCAGAUGACAGAGCUGGAAAAGGCACUUUAAAGGCUAGAACAUUAGUCUGAACCUAAUAAAAUGAUAA